GACUCUGUGGCGCAACGGUAGCGCGUCAGACUCCAGAUCAGAAGGUUGCGUGUUCAAAUCACGUCAGGGUCA
rnacentral:tRNA from 1 species